UAUAAGGACAGCAUACCCAGCAGAACGAAUUUUCCGCGGUAACGCCGCCCCGCGCGUUCUCGGGAUUUUUCGGAAAAACGCUACGUAUUACGAUUUCACUCCGCCGCCGAAUAAACAGAUCGUUGUGCCUGUACACGAAUAAGACGGCAGAAUAAAAAACGCGAAACCCCGGAGAGAAUCAGCGUAAUUUCGGUUACGACGCAUAGCUGUACACAAAUAGCGCGUCUCCCGUUUCUGUUU